GACGAACGCUGGCGGCGUGCUUAACACAUGCAAGUCGAACGGAAAGGCCCUUCGGGGUACUCGAGUGGCGAACGGGUGAGUAACACGUGGGUGAUCUGCCCUGCACUUUGGGAUAAGCCUGGGAAACUGGGUCUAAUACCGGAUAGGACUACGCGAUGCAUGUCGUGUGGUGGAAAGCUUUUGCGGUGUGGGAUGGGCCCGCGGCCUAUCGGCUUGUUGGGGAGGUUACGGCUCACCAAGGCGACGACGGGUAGCCGGCCUGAGAGGGUGACCGGCCACACUGGGACUGAGAUACGGCCCCGACUCCGACGGGAGGCAGCAGUGGGGAAUAUUGCACAAUGGGCGCAAGCCUGAUGCAGCGACGCCGCGUGAGGGAUGACGGCCUUCGGGUUGUAAACCUCUUUCAGCAGGGACGAAGCGCAAGUGACGGUACCUGUAGAAGAAGGACCGGCCAACUACGUGCCAGCCGCCGCAGUAAAAC
rnacentral:rRNA from 1 species